GAUGAGCAUGCGUCCCAUUAGCUAGUUGGUAAGGUAACGGCUUACCAAGGCUACGAUGGGUAGGGGUCCUGAGAGGGAGAUCCCCCACACUGGUACUGAGACACGGACCAGACUCCUACGGGAGGCAGCAGUGAGGAAUAUUGGACAAUGGGCGCAAGCCUGAUCCAGCCAUGCCGCGUGCAGGAUGACGGUCCUAUGGAUUGUAAACUGCUUUUAUACGAGAAGAAACACUCCAACGUGUUGGAGCUUGACGGUAUCGUAAGAAUAAGGAUCGGCUAACUCCGUGCCAGCAGCCGCGGUAAUACGGAGGAUCCAAGCGUUAUCCGGAAUCAUUGGGUUUAAAGGGUCCGUAGGCGGUUUAAUAAGUCAGUGGUGAAAGC
rnacentral:rRNA from 1 species